ACACGAGGUAACACAACCAUACGAUCAUCGCCGGAUAAUCGUACGAAUCCGGGUUCCCGGAAGUGUCUAUUUCGACACCGGAACCCACCGUCGCUCACCCAUCAUCAUCGAACCCACAAAAUGAUGAUGGUGACCAGCCAACAAGGCUCAGCGACAAAACACGAAGCAACCAAACACCGUCGGAAAGAAUCCGAACCGAAACCGCGUUCUUUCGGCGAAUUUCGCCGAAAAACACACCGAAAUCGACCUACCGAUUUCCGUGAAAGCUAACGGACCAUGGACAAUC
rnacentral:lncRNA from 1 species